CCUACGGGAGGCAGCAGUGGGGAAUAUUGCGCAAUGGGCGAAAGCCUGACGCAGCAACGCCGCGUGCGGGAUGACGGCCUUCGGGUUGUAAACCGCUUUCAGCAGGGACGAAGGGUUACCUUGACGGUACCUGCAGAAGAAGCACCGGCUAACUACGUGCCAGCAGCCGCGGUGAUACGUAGGGUGCGAGCGUUGUCCGGAAUUAUUGGGCGUAAAGAGCUUGUAGGCGGUUUGUUGCGUCGGAAGUGAAAACUCAGGGCUUAACCCUGAGCCUGCUUUCGAUACGGGCAGACUUGAGGGAUGUAGGGGAGAACGGAAUUCCUGGUGGAGCGGUGGAAUGCGCAGAUAUCAGGAGGAACACCAGUGGCGAAGGCGGUUCUCUGGACAUUUCCUGACGCUGAGAAGCGAAAGCGUGGGGAGCAAACAGGCUUAGAUACCCUGGUAGUCCACGCCGUAAACGGUGGGCACUAGGUGUGGGACCCAUUCCCGUACGGUUACCGGUCGCGACGACUACGACAUAGUGCCCGCCGUCGGGAGGUACGGCCGCGACGGACGUAAACCGUACAACGAAGUAGUACGACGCGNGAGACGCGACGACGACGACGACGGAGGAGGUAG
rnacentral:rRNA from 1 species